rnacentral:lncRNA from 1 species
AUGCCUGUGGGUCAGAGAUGCAUGUUGCAUGUGCCCUGGGAACUUCAGGCAAGUCUUGACUUUGGUCCCUUGUCUGUGUUUUUCCUGCAGGAGCCUGAACUGAGUCCACACACUGAACUCACAGACCUGCAGGAGGAGAUGGAAGAAAGAAAAUCAACAGGUUUUGAGGAUGAGAAGAACACAAGUAAUGGCAGAGGAGGUGCUGUGCAAGAGAGCUGCAUGGCCUUUCCUGGCUCCAUGGCCCUGGUUCCAGCCAGAUUCGAGGCUCUCAGGGUGCAGAUGACACCCGGACUCCAUGUUGCCUUAAAGCAGUCCACACUGCCCAGGUCUCCAGAGAAAACCGCAAAGAUCUGUAACUCCGACUAUGUCUUGGGGAAGUGGAGAAAUAAUGAGGCAAGUUUAGUAUGUCUUCUAGGGUCAUACCUGUCAUGAUGACUGGUGGUUAAUGGUUUUCUCUCUGAGAAGGUAAAUACUUUCCACACUUGCAGAUUCUCUCCCUAUUGAGCUCCAUGAAAGCAUUCAGUGCGUGCUUGUGUGAGAUGUGUUGUGCUGAUUCCCUUGCGGGGGAUGGAAGGGGAGGGUGGGAAUCCUUCCUGAAAAGAGUGUGAAGGUGGCAUUUCCCAGCUCAGCCUGGGUGUCUGUAGGCGAGAACAUCAAUGGCAGAAAGCACUAGGCUCUUCCUGGUGAAAGGAGAGGUACAAACAGGAGCAGUGACAGUGCCUGGCUUUUGCUUCCUGAAGCAUCAGGUCACAGGCCUCUAGAGACCCUCCCUCAGGAAGUGUCCCAGGUGCCAAGUGUCCUAGGUGAGUGUCACAGUUGUUUGUGUGGGCUCCCUCCCUGUGUUCAUUUCAUAGAUUCUGGGUAGAGUGUAGCACAUUCCAAAGAAUAAGCAGAGGGUUGGACUAGGAGAGACGGACUCGUGUGGUUGGACAGUGAAUCUCAAACGUUUCAAGAUCCCACUCAGAAAGUGACCUUUCAGGGAACGGAAUGCAUGGGUGGGCUUUAGCGUCAUGU